AAAUAUUCAAAAAAUGUAUAAAAAGUUUAAAUUUGGAAAAGUAUAAUUUGACAACAUAAAAAAAGAAAAAUGAAUUUUUUUUAUUUUUUAUUUCUAUUUUUUGUUUAUUUAUUUAAAUAAUAAUUUAUUAUAAAUAGAAAACAAAGGUAUAAGAGUUUUUUUAUUCUUAAUGAACAAAAUAUUUUUGAAAAUAUCUCUUUAGUGGUCUAAACAUAAAUAAUGAUACCCAAAAAGUGGUAAAAGUAAAAGUAAAAGUUCCCUAUUUAUUUAUAAUUUUUUUUUCAUACAUCUUAAAAGAUCAUGUAUUCUCGAACAUGGAUUUUGUGCAACAUUAUUCAUUAUCUCCUGCAAUCCUUCUUUAUUCAAUUAACCAUUUGUAUAAGUUAUAUCAAAUCCACUAUUAUUCAAAGGUAAACAAAUUUAGAAAAGAAUAUGAAGAAUUUUCAUGUUUACCACAUUGUUACCAUAUAGAGUUAUUAAUUUGUAAAAAUUUCAUUUUUAGAUUCUAUCUACUUUAUAAUAUAUUUUUAAUAAAAUAAAAUAUAAUAGAUUUUAUCGUAUAUAAAUUAAUUAAAUUUUAGAAAUUGACUUUCAUAUUUUUUUACUAUGUCAUUUUGUGUAAAUGAUAUAUGUUAUAGAAUUUAAAUGUGGUUUUUGGAUAGACUUUUACUUAAUAUUAUCUAAAUAUAUUAAAGUGUUCAAAAAAAUAGAGAAGGAUUCCAUAGUGAGUAAGAAAACAAACAUGAUGUUUUGUUUGUAUUUAUAAUUGUCAUGGAACCAUAUAUUUAUAAAGUUCUUUUGUAAAAAUAUCUUCUUAUUAUUUUAUCAAUUUGUUUUAUAUUUUAUUCUGAUUUCGGGUUGAAAUCAUGUGCGUAGGUGCUGGGAACCACGAAUUAAAUACUUACCUAACCAAAUAUCAGCUAGAUUUGAUCCUCAGUUUGGGGAACUUGUUGGAAGGUUUGAUUCCAUUGUGUUUUGAACUGUUACUUAAGACCAAAUGUUUUAAAACUUGAAGGAAUUGCAGGCAUAGCAGGAAACCAUGGCCCAGGUUUAUCAAUGCAGACACCCUAACACUUAAGUCUCACCAGAGGUUCUAAACUGUCUUGACGCUAUAAUAUAAACUUUUUCAUUUCGUUCCGAGUGUAUUGACUUCGUUUGUAUGUAAAUUUUCAGGCCAUUAAUUUUCUCGAGAAGCAUCUUAGGUAUGAUCAUCAUCAAGACAGACUAACCGCAGGAGAAGCCAUGGCCCAUCAAUAAUUUGCUAAGUUAAAGCUGCAGAGAGCAGCAGACUACGGACUCUGUGAAAACCAAAGCUUGAAGGUUUAUACUAUUUUGUAGUAUCAAACAUUGUAAUGUUGUGUAAUAUUAUCUUAAACACACACAAGUUGUUGUAUCAAAACUGUUGUUGUCUAUACCCCUCUUUUGUAGACAUAAUUGAAAGGAGAAGCAAAUAUUGAAGAACAUUAAAAGAAGUUCCAAACAAAGCUUCAUAGUAUAACCAUAAUAAUAGUAGUAAGAGACUUAGCGUUGAAACAAGUCUUUAGUAAAAACAGAAACAGGAACAGAAACAGAAACCAUAAGUUUUGUUGACCCGAGACACUUGAAUGAUACAACAAACAUAGGAGACGGAUCCAUACAUUUACAUUGGAAUCCUUUUUUGGUGAGAAAUGAUAGUUUCUAUCACUUGCUGAGGUGAGGGAAGCAAGC